GCGUAGAGGGUAGCGCGUCUGCCUCGUAAGCGCUAGACGCGGGUUCGAUUCCCGC
rnacentral:tRNA from 1 species